UGCGUAGGCGGCGGGGUAAGUCGGAUGUGAAAUCCCGGGGCUCAACCCCGGAACUGCAUUCGAUACUGCCCUGCUCGAGUACUGGAGAGGAGACUGGAAUUUACGGUGUAGCAGUGAAAUGCGUAGAUAUCGUAAGGAAGACCAGUGGCGAAGGCGAGUCUCUGGACAGUUACUGACGCUGAGGCACGAAGGCCAGGGAGCAAACG
rnacentral:rRNA from 1 species